CCCUUAGAUGUUCUGGGCCGCACGCGCGCUACACUGAUGCAUUCAACGAGCCUAUCCUUGACCGACAGGUCCGGGUAAUCUUUGAAUCUGCAUCGUGACGGGGAUAGAUUAUUGCAAUUAUUAAUCUUCAACGAGGAAUGCCUAGUAGGCGCAAGUCAUCAGCUUGCGUCGAUUUCGUCCCUGCCCUUUGUACACACCGCCCGUCGCUCCUACCGAUUGGGUGUGCUGGUGAAAUGUUCGGAUCGGCCGUUUGUCGCGGUUUCCGCGUCAUGUGGCUGAGAAGUUCAUUAAACCCUCCCACCUAGAGGAAGGAGAAGUCGUAACA
rnacentral:rRNA from 1 species